rnacentral:misc_RNA from 1 species
UGAACCUGUAAGAAAUAACCUUCCUACUACAAUUUGGCGUUAUGAGGAUCAGAUGGUCCCAAGCAUGACUUCUUCCUUGGUAAGAGUUGGAGAGGAAGAAACUUCUUCAGAUCUUCGAAAUUUUUCGGAUGAUAGCAGAGCAGAGGUGCCAAGAAAUGUAAAUGUCAAUCAAGAACAAAGAAGAGACAACUUGGGGGCUUCACAAACCAUCGGUGGUAACAACAAUUUGCCACAUUUUAGUGUUGGUCUCGGAAAUAUUGAAGAUUCAACAGCAGAAUCUUCAAGUAGU